rnacentral:rRNA from 1 species
GACGAACGCUGGCGGCGUGCUUAACACAUGCAAGUCGAACGGAAAGGCCCCUUUGGGGGUCCUCGAGUCGCGAACGGGUGAGUAACACGUGAGUAACCUGCCCUUGACUUCGGGAUAACUUCAGGAAACUGGGGCUAAUACCGGAUAGGAAUCCUUGCUGCAUGGUGGGGGUUGGAAAGCUUCGGCGGUUUUGGAUGGACUCGCGGCUUAUCAGCUUGUUGGUGGGGUAGUGGCUUACCAAGGCUUUGACGGGUAGCCGGCCUGAGAGGGCGACCGGCCACAUUGGGACUGAGAUACGGCCCAGACUCCUACGGGAGGCAGCAGUGGGGAAUAUUGCACAAUGGGCGGAAGCCUGAUGCAGCAACGCCGCGUGCGGGAUGACGGCCUUCGGGUUGUAAACCGCUUUCAGCAGGGGCGAAGCUUGUGGUGACGGUACCUGCAGAAGAAGCACCGGCUAACUACGUG